AUUGCAGAGAAAUUGUCUAAACUGGUAUUAACUAUUCCUGGUAAAUCGCGGAGAAGAGUGGAAUGAACAAAAAAGGCAGACCGAGACUAGAACCACCAGCAGCGUAACACGGAAAUCUUGGAACAAAGAGACACCGAGUGGUUCGUGUUGUCCGGUUUGGAUAUCAGCGGUAAAGCGAACGUUGUGUGUACUAUUGCAAAAUAUAUAUAGCGGAUCUCCACGGUUAGGAUACAGACCACAACGCUUUGGACGUAUCUUUAAAAAAGAGAAAAAUCAGAGACUUUUUGGAUUUGUCUGGGGGACAUUUUAAACAUUUUGUGACAAAUUGGAUUUAAAACAUUUCGGAUAUUGGAUACCUAGUUUGAUAUGUCCACAGAGAUUGUUUAAGACGUUUUCACCUCAUUUUAGGGUUUAUUUUUAAUUAAAGGCUUCUUAAAACAUGUAUGAAAAUGUGUAUAUUAUACAAUGAGUCUUAUAUUGUCUGCUCUGACAAAAAUAAAUUAUUAUUUUAGAUUUUA